CCUUAGUGUUCUCGUCAGAAGAUGGUAGAGCUGCUCUUGAACAGCGCACAAUCCGAGUCAAAUCCGACAGAACAGCAGAGACACGAGAACAGCAUGCGCGCGUCAGUGUUGCAUCAUCACGGCGCGUUGUGCCCAGAGGCAAUACGUCGAGCACCUCGCGUGCACUGCCCACUGCACACGGCGAGACAGGGCUUCAGGGCAUGAAUGGAACUUGACAGAAUGACAGGGAGGGAUGAAGCAGUAAGCGUUCGAGGACGAGGAGAAGCGAGAAGGAGAAGCGAGAGGUCGGGGGCAGUUAACGUACCAGAGAUCGCCGCCAGCGGCACAAGUUUUAUGCGGCGACCGGGCAGGUGGAGACUGGAGAGGCGAGCCACGCCGCCGGUGCUCUGUAAUGUGGAGUGUGGGGACUGGGGAGAGCUUGAGU
rnacentral:lncRNA from 1 species